AUAGUACUCCCUCCGUCCCAAAAUUCUUGUCUUAGAUUUGUCUAGAUAUGGAUGUACCUAUAAUACUAAAACGUGACUUGAUACAUCCGCAUUUGGACAAAUCUAAGACAAGAUUUUUAGGACGGAGGGAGUACCAG
rfam:Triticum aestivum genome assembly, contig: Triticum_aestivum_CS42_TGACv1_scaffold_129652_2BL